rnacentral:rRNA from 1 species
GAGUUAACUGAACCUUCGGGGGACGUUAACGGCGUCGAGCGGCGGACGGGUGAGUAAUGCCUAGGAAAUUGCCCUGAUGUGGGGGAUAACCAUUGGAAACGAUGGCUAAUACCGCAUAAUCUCUUCGGAGCAAAGAGGGGGACCUUCGGGCCUCUCGCGUCAGGAUAUGCCUAGGUGGGAUUAGCUAGUUGGUGAGGUAAUGGCUCACCAAGGCGACGAUCCCUAGCUGGUCUGAGAGGAUGAUCAGCCACACUGGAACUGAGACACGGUCCAGACUCCUACGGGAGGCAGCAGUGGGGAAUAUUGCACAAUGGGCGCAAGCCUGAUGCAGCCAUGCCGCGUGUAUGAAGAAGGCCUUCGGGUUGUAAAGUACUUUCAGCAGUGAGGAAGGUUCAUGCGUUAAUAGCGUAUGGAUUUGACGUUAGCUGCAGAAGAAGCACCGGCUAACUCCGUGCCAGCAGCCGCGGUAAUACGGAGGGUGCGAGCGUUAAUCGGAAUUACUGGGCGUAAAGCGCAUGCAGGUGGUUUGUUAAGUCAGAUGUGAAAGCCCGGGGCUCAACCUCGGAAUUGCAUUUGAAACUGGCAGACUAGAGUACUGUAGAGGGGGGUAGAAUUUCAGGUGUAGCGGUGAAAUGCGUAGAGAUCUGAAGGAAUACCGGUGGCGAAAGCGGCCCCCUGGACAGAUACUGACACUCAGAUGCGAAAGCGUGGGGAGCACACACGAUUACAUACCCUGGUAGUCCACGCCCUAAACAAUGUCUACUUGGAGGUUGUUGCCUUCACCCGUGGCUUUCCCAGCUAACGCGCUUAUUAGACC